rnacentral:rRNA from 1 species
UACGUAGGGUGCAAGCGUUGUCCGGAAUUAUUGGGCGUAAAGAGCUCGUAGGCGGUUCCUUAAGUCGGGUGUGAAAUCUCAGGGCUUAACCCUGAGCCUGCUUCCGAUACGGGCAGACUAGAGGUAUGCAGGGGAGAACGGAAUUCCUGGUGUAGCGGUGAAAUGCGCAGAUAUCAGGAGGAACACCGGUGGCGAAGGCGGAUCUCUGGGCCUACCUGACGCUGAGGCGCGAAAGCUAGGGGAGCAAACAGG